GAUGAACGCUAGCGGCAGGCCUAACACAUGCAAGUCGAGGGGCAGCGGGAAAGUAGCUUGCUACUUUUGCCGGCGACCGGCGCACGAGUGCGUAACGCGUAUGUAACCUACCUCAAACAGGGGCAUAACACUGAGAAAUUGGUACUAAUUCCCCAUAACACCAGAGAGGGCAUCCUCUUUGGUUGAAAGUUCCGGCGGUUUGAGAUGGACAUGCGUUGUAUUAGCUAGUUGGUGAGGUAACGGCUCACCAAGGCUACGAUACAUAGGGGGACUGAGAGGUUAACCCCCCACAUUGGUACUGAGACACGGACCAA
rnacentral:rRNA from 1 species